GACGAACGCUGGCGGCGUGCUUAACACAUGCAAGUCGAACGGAAAGGCCCUGCUUUUGUGGGGUGCUCGAGUGGCGAACGGGUGAGUAACACGUGAGUAACCUGCCCUUGACUUUGGGAUAACUUCAGGAAACUGGGGCUAAUACCGGAUAGGAGCUCCUGCUGCAUGGUGGGGGUUGGAAAGUUUCGGCGGUGUGGGAUGGACUCGCGGCUUAUCAGCUUGUUGGUGGGGUAGUGGCUUACCAAGGCUUUGACGGGUAGCCGGCCUGAGAGGGUGACCGGCCACAUUGGGACUGAGAUACGGCCCAGACUCCUACGGGAGGCAGCAGUGGGGAAUAUUGCACAAUGGGCGGAAGCCUGAUGCAGCAACGCCGCGUGCGGGAUGACGGCCUUCGGGUUGUAAACCGCUUUCGCCUGUGACGAAGCGUGAGUGACGGUAAUGGGUAAAGAGGCACCGGCUAACUACGUG
rnacentral:rRNA from 1 species